GACGAACGCUGGCGGCGUGCUUAACACAUGCAAGUCGAACGGAAAGGCCCUGCUUUUGUGGGGUGCUCGAGUGGCGAACGGGUGAGUAACACGUGAGUAACCUGCCCUUGACUUUGGGAUAACUUCAGGAAACUGGGGCUAAUACCGGAUAGGAGCUCCUGCUGCAUGGUGGGGGUUGGAAAGUUCGGCGGUUGGGGAUGGACUCGCGGCUUAUCAGCUUGUUGGUGGGGUAGUGGCUUACCAAGGCUUUGACGGGUAGCCGGCCUGAGAGGGUGACCGGCCACAUUGGGACUGAGAUACGGCCCAGACUCCUACGGGAGGCAGCAGUGGGGAAUAUUGCACAAUGGGCGGAAGCCUGAUGCAGCAACGCCGCGUGCGGGAUGACGGCCUUCGGGUUGUAAACCGCUUUCGCCUGUGACGAAGCGUGAGUGACGGUAAUGGGUAAAGAAGCACCGGCUAACUACGUG
rnacentral:rRNA from 1 species